UACGGGGGGGGGCAAGCGUUGUCCGGAUUUAUUGGGCGUAAAAGGCUUGUAGGUGGCCACGCCAAGUCGGAUGUGAAAUCUCCCGGCUCAACUGGGAGGGGUCAUUCGAUACUGGCGGGCUCGAGGCCGGUAGGGGGAAGUGGAAUUCCCGGUAUAGUGGUGGAAUGCGUAGAUAUCGGGAGGAACACCAGUGGCGAAGGCGGCUUCCUGGACCGGUUCUGACACUGAGGAGCGAAAGCGUGGGGAGCGAUCCGG
rnacentral:rRNA from 1 species